GCCGCUGUGGUACUUUUGCAUAUGUGCUCCUACUGCUCUAGAUGUAGUAGGAAGUUAAAAUUUGAGACGAGACUCUUGAUGUGUAUUAAAUUGGUGGAUGGAUGUAAUGAUAUUGCAUUUUAAAACUUGUGGAAUGUGAAAUGCUUGUAUAUUGCAACCAUUUGUGGAGAUGUUGAUUCAUGUGAAUCUGAUUUUGUAUGUGUUGAAAAAAUUAUAUAGAUGCAAUUGUAUGUGCUGCUGAAAAAAAUAUGGGCAGAAUUUUGUGGACUGUUAAAAAAAUUGGGCUGAAAUAUGUGGGUUGAAAAAAAUAUAUGGGUUCAAUUGUGCGGGUUGAAAAAAUUAUAUGGGCUGCAUUGAUGUGGGCUGGAAAUUUUUACAUGCUGCAAUCAUAAAAGUGGCCAAAAAUUCAAAAAUAAAUAAUGGCCAACCAGUAUUUGUAACCCAUGAGCUACGUGGGCUUUACAAGACCAAAUCUCAUUUUGUGACUUUUUUCUGUCAUGUCAGAUUUUGUGAUAAUAAAGCAAUGCUAUAUGCUUGUGAUAAUAAAUAUACAAACGCCACAUGACGUUGGCAUUUUGAUAUUUGAAUUUUUGUUAAUUGUUGGUCCCAAAUCUUAAGUUGUGACUUAAAUUUUAUAUAUUAUAUAUGAUGUAAUAGAAUGCCAGUAAACCACAAAUAUAUCGUAAUGUUUAUAGACUAUAGAUAAUUGUUUAUCAUGCUAGCUAUAUUAUUUGUGACUUGAUGCCCUUUGUU
rnacentral:lncRNA from 1 species